rnacentral:tRNA from 1 species
GUCCCCAUAGUUUAAUGGAUAGAAUGCGAGCUUGCGGAGUUUGCGGUGUAGGUUCGAUUCCUACUGGGGACACCA